UGUUUCAUGAGCAUACUAUAUGAGAUAACUCUGCCCAGUGAAUAAAUAUUUCAACGGCCGCGGUAUCCUGACCGUGCAAAGGUAGCACAAUAAUGAGCCCUCUAAUUAAGGGAUGGAAUGAAAGAACCAACGAGAAAAUAACUGUCUCUUUAUUACAAGAGAAAAUUUAUAUACAGGUGAAAAAGCCUGAAUUAAAAACAAAGACAAGAAGUCCCUAGAAGCUUUUAAAUACCAUAAAACUCUUAUUUCAAGUGUUUUUUUGCUGGGGCGACAAAAAGAGAAAAACACUUUUACUAAAAAAGAUAUAAUCCAUCUAUAAAAACAGCUAAACACACUCAAGCAAGUUACUCUAGGGAUAACAGGCUAAUACUUUCUGAGAGUACGCAUUGACGAAAGUGCUUGGCACCUCGAUGUUGGCUUAGGGUCUCUAUUUCACGCAAAAGUGAAAACAAGAGGGUUUGUUCAACCUUUAAAUCCCU
rnacentral:rRNA from 1 species